rnacentral:rRNA from 1 species
UUUUCCCUCUUUCUUUAGGCCUAACACAUGCAAGUCGAACGGCAGCACAGUAAGAGCUUGCUCUUACGGGUGGCGAGUGGCGGACGGGUGAGGAAUACAUCGGAAUCUACUUUUUCGUGGGGGAUAACGUAGGGAAACUUACGCUAAUACCGCAUACGACCUACGGGUGAAAGCAGUGGAUCUUCGGACCUUGCGCGAUUGAAUGAGCCGAUGUCGGAUUAGCUAGUUGGCGGGGUAAAGGCCCACCAAGGCGACGAUCCGUAGCUGGUCUGAGAGGAUGAUCAGCCACACUGGAACUGAGACACGGUCCAGACUCCUACGGGAGGCAGCAGUGGGGAAUAUUGGACAAUGGGCGCAAGCCUGAUCCAGCCAUACCGCGUGAGUGAAGAAGGCCUUCGGGUUGUAAAGCCCUUUUGUUGGGAAAGAAAAGCAGCAGGUUAAUACCCCGCUGUUCUGACGGUACCCAAAGAAUAAGCACCGGCUAACUUCGUG